GGGAACUGAGGCACAGAGAGAUGGAGGCCUUAUCUAAACAGGUUCUUUAUGUGUUUGUUUGUUUUUAACCAGUACAACUAUUUCCAUCAAGACAAGCCUUAUGUGACUUGCCCAAGGUCAUCCAGGAAACGUGGCAGAGCAUGAAGUUGAACCAAGGUGUCUGGAGUCCCGGGGUAGCACCCUACCCACUGGACUAGAUUUCCUUUCGGAAACUGCGGCCCUACAUUUUUGAUGUUAUGGUAUAAACACAAUCACGGCAAACAAGAGCAGCCUUACCUAAAACAUCACUGUAGUACUGAUUCCAUUCUUUCCACAAAACCUGGUGAAACAGAACAUCCUGAAGAGCAUAAAAGAGCAGGUUUCGCAAUCUCUCCAUGUAGGACAUCCUGUCCGUCAGUCCCCCCGUGCUGGCAGGUACGUAUGAAGGAGGGGCUGGAAGCCCCCCACACAGCCGCUCCGCUGUGUUCCCAUCAGAGAACCGGAAAGUAUAGACAAAAGGGAUUUCAAGCAACUCUGCUAUCAGCUCACCGCCCGGAGAAAGAGGGUCUGAGAUUAGCACAUCAAACCCCGCUUGCCGGAGCUUUGCUAUCAGCCUGGGGUUCAGCACCACACUGUCACAGGUCUGCUUCGACAUGUUGAGAAAGACUUCCACGCUAUUCAUCAUUUUCACCAGGCCCUCCCAGUAGGACAGAUGGGGAAGCUCGUACAUCCACAGGUGCAGGAAGUCCUCCAACAGGGCCGCCAUGGUCUCCUUGGUAAAGGGCACCAGCAGGACCUCAAAGUCAAAUGGGGAAGAGGACUCAUUGUAAUCGAUGAGCAAAUUUGCUGAAGGCACCAGCACAGUCACAUCGUGGCCCCGAAGGGAGAGUUCCUCCAGCACCAGUUUUAUGUUGAGCCAGUGACUGGCAUCGGUGGGCCAGACCAGCACCUUCCCACAGGAUCCUGAGCCCCAGCAGCUCAUGUGAACCCACAGCACCAGCAAAAGCCACUUCUUCAACAUCCUGGCUGUACGCGGCAGCUCUCAUCAGAGCUAAGUUCAGUUCCAGAGUCCACAGUGUGAACACUUCUAAGCACAGCCCACAAAGACUGGAUGCUGAAUGUUCCAAUCCUGAUAGAAGAAUAUGGUCAUUUCAGUGCAAAAUUACCAUAUGUGAGGCAACACUCAGCAAGUACCAAAUCCUGUUCUGGAUCACCUAGAAUUCUCCUUCUGAAUGAAACUGAUGGAUUCUUCUGCAGGAUUGAAAACAACCUGCUCCCUCAGCUGGACAGCUAUUGUUACACAAUGUGCAUUUUCAGAUCUGCAGGAAAAUUGUCAUCUUUGAAUUGCAAACUAUGGCCCCAGUCCAAAGCUCACUAAAUCAAUGCGAGUCUUUCCAA